AGCGAACGCUGGCGGCAGGCUUAACACAUGCAAGUCGAGCGCCCGUAGCAAUACGGGAGCGGCAGACGGGAGAGUAACACGUGGGAACAUGCCCUUCGGUUCGGAAUAACUCAGGGAAACUUGAGCUAAUACCGGAUACGUCCGUAAGGAGAAAGAUUUAUCGCCGAAGGAUUGGCCCGCGUCCGAUUAGCUUGUUGGUGAGGUAAUGGCUCACCAAGGCGACGAUCGGUAGCNGGUCUGAGAGGAUGAUCAGCCUCACUGGGACUGAGACACGGCCCAGACUCCUACGGGAGGCAGCAGUGGGGAAUAUUGGACAAUGGGCGCAAGCCUGA
rnacentral:rRNA from 1 species